rnacentral:rRNA from 1 species
GAUGAACGCUGGCGGCGUGCCUAAUACAUGCAAGUCGAACGCACAGCGAAAGGUGCUUGCACCUUUCAAGUGAGUGGCGAACGGGUGAGUAACACGUGGACAACCUGCCUCAAGGCUGGGGAUAACAUUUGGAAACAGAUGCUAAUACCGAAUAAAACUUAGUGUCGCAUGACACAAAGUUAAAAGGCGCUUCGGCGUCACCUAGAGAUGGAUCCGCGGUGCAUUAGUUAGUUGGUGGGGUAAAGGCCUACCAAGACAAUGAUGCAUAGCCGAGUUGAGAGACUGAUCGGCCACAUUGGGACUGAGACACGGCCCAAACUCCUACGGGAGGCUGCAGUAGGGGAUCUUCCACAAUGGGCGAAAGCCUGAUGGAGCAACGCCGCGUGUGUGAUGAAGGCUUUCGGGUCGUAAAGCACUGUUGUAUGGGAAGAACAGCUAGAAUAGGAAAUGAUUUUAGUUUGACGGUACCAUACCAGAAAGGGACGGCUAAAUACGUG